UCCCUGGUGGUCCAGCAGUUAGGACUCUGCACUUCCAAUGCAGGGGGAACAGGUUUGAUCCCCUGCUGGGAAA
rnacentral:tRNA from 1 species